rnacentral:rRNA from 1 species
UGCCAGCAGCCGCGGUAACACGAACUGCGCGAACGUUAUUCGGAAUUAUUGGGCGUAAAGGGCGCGCAGGCGGUCUUGUCCGUCAGGUGUGAAAGCUCGGGGCUCAACCCCGGAACUGCAUUUGAAACAGCAAGGCUUGAAUACUGGAGAGGAGAGAGGAAUUCCUGGUGUAGAGGUGAAAUUCGUAGAUAUCAGGAGGAACACCGAUGGCGAAGGCAUCUCUCUGGACAGAUAUUGACGCUGAGGCGCGAAGGCGUGGGUAGCGAACGGGAUUAGAUA